rnacentral:rRNA from 1 species
CCUACGGGAGGCAGCAGUGGGGGAUAUUGCACAAUGGUGGGAACCCUGAUGCAGCGACGCCGCGUGGGUGAAGGAGCGUUUCGGCGCGUAAAGCCCUAUCGGCAGGGAAGAAGGAUGACGGUACCUGACUAAGAAGCCCCGGCUAACUACGUGCCAGCAGCCGCGGUAAUACGUAGGGGGCAAGCGUUAUCCGGAUUUACUGGGUGUAUAGGGGGCGCAGACGGCAGCGCAAGCCAGGAGUGAAAGCCCGGGGGCCAACCCCGGGACUGCUCUUGAAACGGCGCGGCUGGAGUGCAGGAGGGGCAGGCGGAAUUCCUGGUGUAGCGGUGAAAGGCGUAGAUAUCAGGAGGAACACCGGUGGCGAAGGCGGCCUGCUGGACUGUGACUGACGUUGAGGCCCGAAAGCGUGGGGAGCAAACAGGAUUAGAUACCCCGGUAGUC